CAACAAUAUUGGAAUCCAAACUUAAAGAUUGCAGUUUAUUGAUUGAUGUGCAACAGUGUCAAAAGCCUUACUGAAAUCUAGGUAAGCAAUGUCUACUGCACCACUCUGAUCUAUAAUUUUAGUUACCCAAUCAAAAAAAUCAGUAAGAUUAGUUUGGCAUCAUCUCCCUGAAGUAAACCCAUGUUGUCUCUGAUCUUGAAAUCCAUGUGUUUUUAGAUGUUCAACAAUCCUAUCCUUUAGCAUGGUUUCCAUCACUUUCCCCACUACUGAAGUAAGGCUUACUGGCCUAUAGUUGCCCGACUCCUCCCUAUUACCGUUCUUGUGAAUGGGCACAACAUUCGCUAACUUCCAAUCUUCUGUGACUACUCCUGUUAACAAUGAUUGGUUGAAUAAAUCUGUUUAUGGUUUUGCUAGUAUACCACUAAGCUAUUUUAAUAGCUUUGGGUGUAUUCCAUCAGGUCCCAUUUACUUAUUUGUCUUUACUUUUGACAGGUGAAAUAGAACCUCUUCCUCUGUAAACUCACGUGUAAUAAAUGACUCAUUUAUCCUUUUUCUUAACUGAGGUCCCUUUCCUUCAUUUUCAUCUGUAAAUACAGAACACAAAUAUUCAUUGAGGCAGUCAGCUAAAUCUUUAUCCUCUUCUACACCCCUAUCUAUUGCUUGUAAGAAAUGUGUUCAGUAGCUUGACAAAGGCCCUAGGGGUCGAAACUUUGUUUUUUAGUUCUUGGGUCCAAUAAAAUUGCCUAUCUUUUGGAACAUUUGGAGUGCCUGGAUUACUUUCUACAAUUAUACUAUAUAUUUGGUCUCUUUGGUACUGGGACUGAUCAGGAGCACCCUAGUAUUCCAAAGCAAAGGGUUGAGUGCAGUUCAACUAACUGUAUAUGGACUUUUUGAUAUUUUGACAUAUCCUUUAUUUAUAUUAAUGCCAUGAAUAAAAAAUAUUAUCUAAGACUUAAAGGGACACUACAAUCACUAGAACAACUACGGCUGAAUGUAGGUGUUCUAGUGAGUAUAGCAUGUAUCUGCAGGCAUUUUCAUGUAAACACUGCCUUUUCAAAGAAAAGGCAGUGUUUACAUUACUGCCUAAGGACACCUCUAGUGGCAGUCACUUAGACGACCACUAGAGUAGCUUCCUGGAUGUGCAGCACUAACAUUCAGAUUUUCAGAGUCCCCACGCUCUGCAUGGAGGUACUGAGCUUUCACCAUAGAAAAUGCAUUAAUUAAAUGCAUCUUUAAAGAGAUGCUGAUUGCCCAAUGCAACAUGUGCUAUAUCCUCCUAAUGCCUUGAAAAGCAUUGGAUUGGCUAAGAUUGUCAAUUCUGAUGAUCUUAGACAAGGAGGCAGAGCCAGUGCCAGUGGAUCCUUAUUCACUGAGUUCAAGCUACAUUUUUAAC